ACAUAUCACGUUGAAACACCUGUUCCCGUACGAUCAACGAGGUUAAGCAACGUCGAUCCUGGUCAGUAUUUAGAUGGGUAACCGUUUGGGAAUACCAGAUGCUGUAAG